UCAAAUAAUAGCUCAAUAUCUGAAAUUUUAGGUGGGGGAGUGGAUCAGUUCGUUGGAUGGAGGUACUGUUUAUUAUUACUAUUAUUAUCUGUUUUUUCCCCUUGACUCUUACAGAAGUUAAAAGUCGCCAUGCUGUUAAACAUUUAACAAUAUUUGUAAAUAGUUGUAUGUAUAAUUAUUCCUGCUUCUGACAAGGAAAUAUAGAAAAGUGCAAUCAUAACAUGUUAAAGCUUAUUGAUUGAGGACCAAUGGUCCUAUCAUUAAGCUUUAACAUG
rnacentral:misc_RNA from 1 species